UACGGGGGGGGCAAGCGUUGUUCGGAAUUACUGGGCGUAAAGGGUCUGUAGGUGGCCAAUUAAGUCAGACGUGAAAUCCCUCAGCUUAACUGGGGAACUGCGUCUGAGACUGGAUGGCUCGAGUGCAGGAGAGGAAUGCGGAAUUCCAGGUGUAGCAGUGAAAUGCGUAGAUAUCAAGAGGAACACCAGUGGCGAAGGCGAGUCCCUGGACGAUACCUGACACUGAGGCACGAAAGCUAGGGGAGCAAACAGG
rnacentral:rRNA from 1 species